GCCAGCAUGGCAUAGUGGUUUGAGUGUUAGACUACGACCCUGGAGAUCAGAGUUCGAUUCCCCGUUCGAGCA
rnacentral:tRNA from 1 species